rnacentral:rRNA from 1 species
AGCGAACGCUGGCGGCAGGCCUAACACAUGCAAGUCGAACGAACCCUUCGGGGUUAGUGGCGGACGGGUGAGUAACACGUGGGAACGUGCCUUUAGGUUCGGAAUAACUCAGGGAAAUUUGAGCUAAUACCGAAUGUGCCCUUCGGGGGAAAGAUUUAUCGCCUUUAGAGCGGCCCGCGUCUGAUUAGCUAGUUGGUGAGGUAAUGGCUCACCAAGGCGACGAUCAGUAGCUGAUCUGAGAGGAUAACCAGCCACAUUGGGACUGAGACACGGCCCAAACUCCUACGGGAGGCAGCAGUGGGGAAUCUUGCGCAAUGGGCGAAAGCCUGACGCAGCCAUGCCGCGUGGAUGAUGAAGGUCUUAGGAUUGUAAAAUCCUUUCACCGGUGAAGAUAAUGACUGUAGCCGGAGAAGAAGCCCCGGCUAACUUCGUGCCAGCCGCCGCGGUAAGAC